rnacentral:rRNA from 1 species
UGGGGAAUUUUGGACAAUGGGCGAAAGCCUGAUCCAGCAAUGCCGCGUGUGUGUAGAAGGCCUUCGGGUUGUAAAGCACUUUUGUCCGGAAAGAAAUCCUUGGCUCUAAUACAGUCGGGGGAUGACGGUACCGGAAGAAUAAGCACCGGCUAACUACGUGCCAGCAGCCGCGGUAAUACGUAGGGUGCAAGCGUUAAUCGGAAUUACUGGGCGUAAAGCGUGCGCAGGCGGUUUGCUAAGACCGAUGUGAAAUCCCCGGGCUCAACCUGGGGAACUGCAUUGGUGACUGGCAGGCUAGAGUAUGGCAGAGGGGGGUAGAAUUCCACGUGUAGCAGUGAAAUGCGUAGAGAUGUGGAGGAAUACCGAUGGCGAAGGCAGCCCCCUGGGCCAAUACUGACGCUCAUGCACGAAAGCGUGGGGAGCAAACAGGAUUAGAUACCCUGGUAGUCCACGCCCUAAACGAUGUCAACUAGUUGUUGGGGAUUCAUUUCCUUAGUAACGUAGCUAACGCGUGAAGUUGACCGCC